rnacentral:rRNA from 1 species
ACUCCUACGGGAGGCAGCAGUGGGGAAUAUUGGACAAUGGGCGAAAGCCUGAUCCAGCAAUGCCGCGUGAGUGGUGAAGGCCUUAGGGUUGUAAAGCUCUUUUACCAGGGAUGAUAAUGACAGUACCUGGAGAAUAAGCUCCGGCUAACUCCGUGCCAGCAGCCGCGGUAAUAC